rnacentral:rRNA from 1 species
UGCAAGUCGAACGGAAAGGCCCUUCGGGGUGCUCGAGUGGCGAACGGGUGAGUAACACGUGGGUGAUCUGCCCUGCACUUUGGGAUAAGCCUGGGAAACUGGGUCUAAUACCGGAUAUACCCUGCUGGUCGCAUGGCCUGGUGGGGGAAAGCUUUUGCGGUGUGGGAUGGGCCCGCGGCCUAUCAGCUUGUUGGUGGGGUGAUGGCCUACCAAGGCGACGACGGGUAGCCGGCCUGAGAGGGUGACCGGCCACACUGGGACUGAGAUACGGCCCAGACUCCUACGGGAGGCAGCAGUGGGGAAUAUUGCACAAUGGGCGCAAGCCUGAUGCAGCGACGCCGCGUGAGGGAUGACGGCCUUCGGGUUGUAAACCUCUUUCAGUAGGGACGAAGCGCAAGUGACGGUACCUAUAGAAGAAGGACCGGCCAACUACGUGCCAGCAGCCGCGGUAAUACGUAGGGUCCGAGCGUUGUCCGGAAUUACUGGGCGUAAAGAGCUCGUAGGUGGUUUGUCGCGUUGUUCGUGAAAACUCACAGCUCAACUGUGGGCGUGCGGGCGAUACGGGCAGACUGGAGUACUGCAGGGGAGACUGGAAUUCCUGGUGUAGCGGUGGAAUGCGCAGAUAUCAGGAGGAACACCGGUGGCGAAGGCGGGUCUCUGGGCAGUAACUGACGCUGAGGAGCGAAAGCGUGGGGAGCGAACAGGAUUAGAUACCCUGGUAGUCCACGCCGUAAACGGUGGGUACUAGGUGUGGGUUUCCUUCCUUGGGAUCCGUGCCGUAGCUAACGCAUUAAGUACCCCGCCUGGGGAGUACGGCCGCAAGGCUAAAACUCAAAGAAAUUGACGGGGGCCCGCACAAGCGGCGGAGCAUGUGGAUUAAUUCGAUGCAACGCG